rnacentral:rRNA from 1 species
CCCGUGAAGUGUAUUCCGGCAGUGAGUCGGCGGGGGAUAAGCUCCGUCGUCGAGAGGGAGACAGCCCAGAUCGUCGUCUAAGGUCCCGAAGCGUGUGCUAAGUGGGAAAGGAUGUGGAGUCGCAUAGACAGCCAGGAGGUUGGCUCAGAAGCAGCCACCCUUGAAAGAGUGCGUAACAGCUCACUGGUCUAGUGGUUCCGCGCCGACAAUGUAGCGGGGCUCAAGCACACCACCGAAGACGCGGCAGCAGUUUUUCUGCUGGGUAGGAGAGCGUCCCACACCGGGUCGAAGCGGCCGCGUAAGCGUGUCGUGGACUGUGUGGGAGUGAGAAUGCAGACAUGAGUAGCGAGAGCGGGGUGAGGAUCCCCGCCGCUGGAUGACCAAGGGUUCCAGGGCCACGUUCAUCGUCCCUGGGUGAGUCGGGUCCUAAGGCGAGGCCGACAGGCGUAGUCGAAUGGAUGAACGGGUCGAUAUUCCCGUACCGGCUUGCAGCCGCCCGAUCCGAGGCAGCGAGUACUAACCUCCGUCGUCGUGUGAUGUUCCCUUCGGGGUUCGGAUCGUGGCGGUGUUGGGAGCGUAGUUGUAGUAGGGUAGCGCGAGGAGUGACACGGACGGGUAGCCGGCCGCGGAGGUGGUUUUCCGUGGUCAAGCACGCAGGCCGUUCCCCAGGCAAAUCCGGGGGGCGUCAGGGCCGAGGUGUGAUGAUGGGCGCCGUUGGGCGCGAAUCCGGUGAUCCCGACCGUCGAGAAAAGCUUCGGCGCGAGGCUGUUUGCCGCCCGUACCCCAAACCGACACUGGUGGUCUGGUAGAGUAUACCGAAGCGAUCGAGCGAAUCCUGGUCAAGGAACUCGGCAAAUUGCUCCCGUUCCUUCGGUUUAAGGGAGACCCCCGGUGGUGAGGCGCCUCGCGCGCGGAGCUGUUGGGGGUGGCACAGAAGAGGGGGUAGCGACUGUUUACCAAAAACACAGGUGCAUGCGAAGACGUAAGUCGCUGUAUAUGCACUGACGCCUGCCCGGUGCCGGAAGGUUAAGAGGAUCCGUCAGCUCACGCGAAGCGGUGAAUUCAAGCCCCGGUAAACGGCGGUGGUAACUAUAACCAUCCUAAGGUAGCGAAAUUCCUUGUCGGGUAAGUUCCGACCUGCACGAAUGGCGUAACGACUUCCCCACUGUCUCGACCAGGAGCUCGGCGAAAUUGCAGUACGAGUAAAGAUGCUCGUUAAGCGCAGAAGGACGAAAAG